GACAGAGGGUGCGAACGUUGUUCGGAAUUACUGGGCGUAAAGCGCAUGUAGGCGGCAGCGCAAGUCGGGCGUGAAAUCCCACGGCUCAACCGUGGAAGUGCACUCGAAACUGCGCAGCUAGAGUCCUGGAGAGGAAGGUGGAAUGCUUGGUGUAGAGGUGAAAUUCGUAGAUAUCAAGCGGAACACCGGUGGCGAAGGCGGCCUUCUGGACAGUGACGUGACGGCUGAGAUGCGAAAGCGUGGGGAGCAAACAGGG
rnacentral:rRNA from 1 species